rnacentral:rRNA from 1 species
GAUGAACGCUGACAGAAUGCUUAACACAUCAGCAAUUGAUUGGUGGCGGACGGGUGAGUAACGCGUAGAGAACUUGACUCACAGGUAGGGACCACAUUUGGAAACGAAUGCUAAUACCUAAUACUGUGAGAGAGCUGUGCGGCCCAUUAGCUAGUUGGAGAGGUAACGGCUCACCAAGGAGAGGCUGGGUAGCCGGCCGGAGAGACUGGUCGGCCACAAGGGGACUGAGACACGGACCUUACACAUACGGAAGGCAGCAAGCGGUAGGAUUGGACAAUGGACCAGAGUCUGAUCCAGCAAUUAUGUGUGCAGGAUGAAGUUUUCUGAAUGUAAAGUGGUUUCAGUUUGUAAGCGGUACCAAAAGAGAAAGUGACGGCUAAAUACGUGCCAGCCGCCGCGGUAAUAC